rnacentral:rRNA from 1 species
GGACGAACGCUGGCGGCGUGCCUAAUACAUGCAAGUCGAACGAACUCUGGUAUUGAUUGGUGCUUGCAUCAUGAUUUACAUUUGAGUGAGUGGCGAACUGGUGAGUAACACGUGGGAAACCUGCCCAGAAGCGGGGGAUAACACCUGGAAACAGAUGCUAAUACCGCAUAACAACUUGGACCGCAUGGUCCGAGUUUGAAAGAUGGCUUCGGCUAUCACUUUUGGAUGGUCCCGCGGCGUAUUAGCUAGAUGGUGGGGUAACGGCUCACCAUGGCAAUGAUACGUAGCCGACCUGAGAGGGUAAUCGGCCACAUUGGGACUGAGACACGGCCCAAACUCCUACGGGAGGCAGCAGUAGGGAAUCUUCCACAAUGGACGAAAGUCUGAUGGAGCAACGCCGCGUGAGUGAAGAAGGGUUUCGGCUCGUAAAACUCUGUUGUUAAAGAAGAACAUAUCUGAGAGUAACUGUUCAGGUAUUGACGGUAUUUAACCAGAAAGCCACGGCUAACUACGUGCCAGCAGCCGCGGUAAUACGUAGGUGGCAAGCGUUGUCCGGAUUUAUUGGGCGUAAAGCGAGCGCAGGCGGUUUUUUAAGUCUGAUGUGAAAGCCUUCGGCUCAACCGAAGAAGUGCAUCGGAAACUGGGAAACUUGAGUGCAGAAGAGGACAGUGGAACUCCAUGUGUAGCGGUGAAAUGCGUAGAUAUAUGGAAGACACCAGUGGCGAAGGCGGCUGUCUGGUCUGUAACUGACGCUGAGGCUCGAAAGUAUGGGUAGCAAACAGGAUUAGAUACCCUGGUAGUCCAUACCGUAAACGAUGAAUGCUAAGUGUUGGAGGGUUUCCGCCCUUCAGUGCUGCAGCUAACGCAUUAAGCAUUCCGCCUGGGGAGUACGGCCGCAAGGCUGAAACUCAAAGGAAUUGACGGGGGCCCGCACAAGCGGUGGCGCAUGUGGUUUAAUUCGAAGCUACGCGAAGAACCUUACCAGGUCUUGACAUACUAUGCAAAUCUAAGAGAUUAGACGUUCCCUUCGGGGACAUGGAUACAGGUGGUGCAUGGUUGUCGUCAGCUCGUGUCGUGAGAUGUUGGGUUAAGUCCCGCAACGAGCGCAACCCUUAUUAUCAGUUGCCAGCAUUAAGUUGGGCACUCUGGUGAGACUGCCGGUGACAAACCGGAGGAAGGUGGGGAUGACGUCAAAUCAUCAUGCCCCUUAUGACCUGGGCUACACACGUGCUACAAUGGAUGGUACAACGAGUUGCGAACUCGCGAGAGUAAGCUAAUCUCUUAAAGCCAUUCUCAGUUCGGAUUGUAGGCUGCAACUCGCCUACAUGAAGUCGGAAUCGCUAGUAAUCGCGGAUCAGCAUGCCGCGGUGAAUACGUUCCCGGGCCUUG